rnacentral:lncRNA from 1 species
UUUUUCUUUUUUUUUUUUUUAGACGGAGUCUCGCUCUGUGGCCCGGGCUGGAGUGCAGUGGUCGGAUCUCAGCUCACUGCAAGCCCCGCCUCCUGGGUUUACGCCAUUCUCUUGCCUCAGCCUCCAGAGUAGCUGGGACUACAGUCACCCGCCACUUGCCCGGCUAGUUUUUUUUGUAUUUUUUAGUAAAGGCGUGGUUUCACCGUGUUAGCCAGGAUGGUCUCGAUCUCCUGACCUCAUGAUCCGCCUGUCACGGCCUCCCAAAGUGCUGGGAUUACAGGAUGGAGCCACCGUGCCCGGCCCUUUUUUCUUCCAAGAGGAGGGGCUGCGCUGCCGGGAGGCAGUGCGUUGAGCUCUAAUGGAUGGAACACUGCUAACCAGCGAAGGUGGAGAGAGGGCACCCGUCUGAGAGGAUGAAGAGGCAGCAAAGCACAGCUGGCCUCGGGGAACCGGAAGCCACAGAGACAUCAGGCUGGGUGCUGCUGUCUGCGGGCCACUGUCUGGGGGACUGUACUGGGCCUGGAGGGACAUCCCUGACACUCUCCACCGGAUGCCAGGGGCACCCCCAGCCCCAGGUGAGAACCACGGAUCCCAUGGUGAAUGAGGCCAGCCUGUGGGAAGUGGGGCUGGGACAGCUCUGCACAGCUUAAUAGAAAAGUUGGGUUCUAUUUUGUGGGGCUUUGGUGACACCAAUGGCUGGUCAGUGCUGUCCGUCAGGAAGUGAUUUGAUGACAGGCUAGAGAAGCGGCUGCCAAGGCCAGCGGGGCACUCGCUGCCUGGGUCCAAGGAAAAGGAAAUAAAGGCUGGCGAUGUGACAGAGUGGGGAACACAGAGGGAAGGAACUGGUGGAGACACAGGGCUGGCCCUGCACAGGGCUACGAGCAGUUACCCGGGGGUUGUCCUAUUAAUUCUUCUCACGGCACCACGAGGCAGCUGUGAGGAUCCCUCUCCUGAGGACAGAACUGCUCCAGAACCACACAGAGAGGAUCCACAGAACCAAGAUCCGGGCCAGCUCCACAGCGGGCGAUCUUGACCCCUCACCCGUGGUCCUGAGGCAGGGAUCAGAGCCCCCUGGACACACAGACCCUCCCAGGAAUUGCAGGAAGGGGAAGCAGAAGCCCUGGACCAGCGGCAGGACCCAGGGUUUCUGCCCUCCAGGUCACAUGGGGACCAGCCACUGCACAGGUGGACACACGGUGCUUUAACCUGCGCUGGGGAAAGGAGCCCUCGCUCUCAGGGUGAAGACCGCAGCUCGAUCGGGCCGCCCUCCCUGCUGGGCACAGCCUGAGCCACAGGACCAAGGCCAGAGAGGAUUACCAAGGUUCACCUGGCCAGCUUCCAGCAGCCCCCGACGAGGCCACUACCCUCACCUGAACAGCCCUGUCCAUCACCAAGCCCCACCCUCUUCUGCCAGCCCUGCCCCCACAAGGCCCCGCCUCUCGCAUGCAAGCCCCGCCCCCAAGACCCAGCUUGCCUGCAGCACCACCCCACUGGCUCCACCCCAUCUCCUGCAAGCCCCGUCCCCAAGCCCCAGCUCACCUGCAUCCCCACCUACUAGGCUCCACUCCUCACCUGCAAAGAGCCACCCCUCAC